UUCAAUGAUGUUGUAAUGUCAGAGAAUGAGGGUGGUCAUAUUUGAUAAAUAAAGAAAACAUUGUAAAUGCUUCAUUUGAAUUUGAUUUUUUGUUUUCCUUUUAAACUAAUUAUUUUUGUUAAUAUUUUAGUUGAUUUUGUGUUUACAUAAUUUUAUUUUCAUGGCUGAUUGGCUAAUGAAAUUAAGGGUAUAUGUUGAGGGAUAGGAAAAUGUUUUGUGAUAUUUGUUUAAAGUCCAUAAAGAUUUUGUUUUUAAGAUUGAUUUAUAAUUAGUUAUAGUAAUAAUUCACCAAACAAAUAGAUUUGCUACAACUCUGGAAAAUUAAUUAAUGAAAUAGAAUAAAAAAUUAUAUAAGAUUUCUUAUUAUUUACCUUAAAAAUAUAGAUGUUGGAUAAAUAUUGCUUUUUGAAGUGAAAGGGUGAAUGUUCUAAAGCCUGUGUGCUGUGAAUGAUGCGUGUAUGGUGAGAAGUGAAGAAAAAACAUGAAAAUUCAUGGGUUUGGUGUUUGGUAAUAACCUGUUCUGGGGAUUCUCAAAAUUGGAUGAAUGUCUUAAUUAAGUGGGCUAAAUGGUUGUGUUAGGCCGAAUUUUGCAUAUGUUUUUCUAUUUAGUAUUCCUAAUUAUGAAUAUUAGGACUCUAGGAGAAGUUUUAAAUGCAUCAUAAUUUGGGACGGAGAGGUGAGAUGAUUCAUAGGUGAUAAGGUAGUUGAGAAGAUUUUGGAUUCAGAAAUCUACCUUUUUUUUUAAUGUAAUUUCAUGUUGUUUAGUUUUAGUUCAAGGUUUUAUUAUAUAUAGCUGAAUAUAUAUUUGGUAGUCAAACAAAUUCAUUGAGAAAUUGAAUUAAUUAUUGAUUUCAAUUGUUUUCAAGUCGAAUAGUGCAAAACAUUGAGCUACAGCCUACAGUGCACUGGCAACCACCACAAGAGGAUGGAAAAAGCUCCAUUUUUUGUCCAACAAUAACCUAUCCUAGAUGUAAUUGUUUAAUUUUAUUUGCAAUACAAUAUAUGUUUUCCCUUUUAGGGGGAAAAAAAAGAAGCAAAGAUAAAAACCAUCAAAUAUCCCAUUUUUUAUCUUCUAUUACCAUGUUGAUUUGACGAUGACCAUGAGGAUGGUGUGAAAUUGAUUUUAGUAGGAAAAAAAAAUCCCGUGCAUUGCACGGCCUAUAGGCUAGCUAUAUAUAAUAGCAAUAGCAGAAACUGAGAGAAAGUUGAUUCAUACAAUUAAGGAGGUGUUGCCAUGUAGGAAAAGUGGCUAUCUAAAAUUCAGCCACAUUUAAGUUAAAAAGCGAUAAAUUACAUUGUUUGGUAACGCUACAAACACCGUUUAAAUGUGAUAAAUUAUAAUGAUUCAUUACGUUAAAACACUAUUUGGAGCAGUAUAAAAAGGAAACUAUCCGCUUAAGAAAAAAAAAAAAAAAUUACUACACGGAGAAAGGAGAAAGAGAGAUCAAGUGAAAAGAGAGAUAGAGAAAUGGAGAGGCAGAGAAAUAGAGGCAGAGAUAGAGAGAAGGGUGCCACCCAGAUCUUCUGCCAUCAUCAAGGAAAAAAUAAACCUUGCGAUACAGAGAUGAGAAGGAGACAGACAUUGAGAGAACUACCACCGGUUUGGAGAGGGCAAAAACAAAGAAAUAAGAGAGAACAUGAUCUAAAAGGUAAUCUUUAGGUUAUGAUAUUAUGCUUUCUGUCUCUACCUUAUUUGUUUUCUUCUAUAUCUUAAUUCUAAAAAUUUGUUUCUUUAGGUUUUUGUUGAUGCAACAAU